rnacentral:rRNA from 1 species
CCUACGGGGGGCUGCAGUGGGGAAUAUUGGACAAUGGGGGCAACCCUGAUCCAGCCAUGCCGCGUGUGUGAAGAAGGCCCUCGGGUUGUAAAGCACUUUCAGUGAGGAAGAACGCCUGGUGGUUAAUACCCAUCAGGAAAGACAUCACUCACAGAAGAAGCGCCGGCUAACUCCGUGCCAGCAGCCGCGGUAAUACGGAGGGUGCGAGCGUUAAUCGGAAUUACUGGGCGUAAAGCGCGCGUAGGUGGCUUGAUAAGCCGGUUGUGAAAGCCCCGGGCUCAACCUGGGAACGGCAUCCGGAACUGUCAAGCUAGAGUGCAGGAGAGGAAGGUAGAAUUCCCGGUGUAGCGGUGAAAUGCGUAGAGAUCGGGAGGAAUACCAGUGGCGAAGGCGGCCUUCUGGACUGACACUGACACUGAGGUGCGAAAGCGUGGGUAGCAAACAGGAUUAGAUACCCGGGUAGUC